rnacentral:snRNA from 1 species
GUUCUUGCUUCGGCAGCACAUAUACUAAAAUCGGAACAAUACAGAGAAGAUUAGCUUGGCCCCUGGGAAAGGAUGACAGGCAAAUUCGUGAAGUGUUCCAUAUAAAG